UACAUGUGGGGCAAGCGUUGUUCGGAAUUACUGGGCAUAAAGGGUGCGUAGGCGGUUUGUUAAGUCACAGGUGAAAGUUUUCGGCCCAACCGGAAAAUUGCCUGCGAUACUGGCGAACUUGAGUGCGUGAGGGGUUGGGGGAACGAGCAGUGUAGCGGUGAAAUGCGUAGAGAUUUGGAGGAACACCGAUGGCGAAGGCAGCCCCCUGGGAUAAAACUGACGCUCAGGCACGAAAGCGUGGGUAGCAAACAGG
rnacentral:rRNA from 1 species